GGUGAGAGUGGCGAACGGCUGAGUAACACGUGGGUGACCUACCCUACGGACCGGGAUAACCCUGCGAAAGCAGGGCUAAUACUGGAUACAACGUGCGUUAACACGUGCGUGGAAAGCUUUUGCGCCGAAGGAGGGGCCCGCGGCCUAUUAGCUUGUUGGUAGGGUAAUGGCCUACCAAGGCGAUGAUGGGUAGCUGGUCUGAGAGGACGGUCAGCCAGACUGGGACUGAGACACGGCCCAGACUCCUACGGGAGGCAGCAGUUCAGAAUCUUGCGCAAUGGGCGAAAGCCUGACGCAGCGAUGCCGCGUGCGGGAAGACGGCCUUCGGGUUGUAAACCGCUGUUAGGGGGAACGAAUUCUGACGGUACCCCCAGAGGAAGCCUCGGCUAACUACGUGCCAGCAGCCGCGGUAAAACGUAGGAGGCAAGCGUUAUCCGGAAUCACUGGGCGUAAAGCGUUCGUAGGCGGCUUCAUAAGUCGGAGGUGAAAUCCCCGGGCUCAACUCGGGAAUUGCCUUCGAAACUGUGAGGCUAGAGCACGUCAGAGGGUGAUGGAAUUCCCGGUGUAGCGGUAAAAUGCAUAGAUAUCGGGAGGAACACCAGUGGCGAAGGCGGUCACCUGGGGCGUUGCUGACGCUGAGGAACGAGAGCUAGGGGAGCGAACGGGAUUAGAUACCCCGGUAGUCCUAGCUGUAAACGAUGGGCACUAGGUGCUGGGAGAUUCGACCCUUUCAGUGCCGAAGCUAACGCAUUAAGUGCCCCGCCUGGGGACUACGGCCGCAAGGUUAAAACUCAAAGGAAUUGACGGGGGCCCGCACAAGCGGUGGAGCAUGUGGUUUAAUUCGAUGCUACGCGAAGAACCUUACCUGGGCUUGACAUUCCGCUGAAAUCCCGCGGAAACGCGGGACCUCCUUCGGGACAGCGGUGACAGGUGGUGCAUGGCUGUCGUCAGCUCGUGCCGUGAGGUGUUGGAUUAAGUUCCGCAACGAGCGCAACCCUCGCCGCUAGUUGCCAUCAUUAAGUUGGGAACUCUAGCGGGACUGCCGGCGUCAAGCCGGAGGAAGGUGGGGAUGACGUCAAGUCAUCAUGCCCCUUACGCCCAGGGCAACACACGUGCUACAAUGGCCGGUACAACGGGUUGCCACGUGGCAACACGGAGCGAAUCCCUAAAAGCCGGCCUCAGUUCGGAUCGAAGGCUGCAACUCGCCUUCGUGAAGUCGGAAUCGCUAGUAACCGCAGAUCAGCAUGCUGCGGUGAAUACGUUCUCGGGCCUUGUACACACCGCCCGUCACACCACGAAAGUCGGCAACA
rnacentral:rRNA from 1 species